rnacentral:rRNA from 1 species
GAAUAUUGGACAAUGGGGGGAACCCUGCUCCAGCCAUGACGCGUGUGUGAAGAAGGCCUCUUGGUUGUAAAGCACUUUAAGCGAGGAGGAGGCUAAUCUAGUUAAUAACUAGCGCUAGUGGACGUUACUCGCAGAUUAACCACCGGCGCACUCUGUGCCAGAAGCCGCGGUAAUACAGAGGGUGCACGUGUUAAUCGGAUUUACUGGGCGUAAAGCGCGCGUAGGUGGCUAAUUAAGUCAAAUGUGAAAUCCCCGAGCUUAACUUGGGAAUUGCAUUCGAUACUGGUUGGCUAGAGUAUGGGAGAGGAUGGUAGAAUUCCAGGUGUAGCGGUGAAAUGCGUAGAGAUCUGGAGGAAUACCGAUGGCGAAGGCAGCCAUCUGGCCUAAUACUGACACUGAGGUGCGAAAGCAUGGGGAGCAAACA